rnacentral:rRNA from 10 species
UGAGACUUAGAGUCUCCUGAAGGAACGUUGAAGACGACGACGUUGAUAGGCCGGGUGUGUAAGCGCAGCGAUGCGUUGAGCUAACCGGUACUAAUGAACCGUGAGGCUUAACCUUACAACGCCGAAG